ensembl:lncRNA
UAGCAGUUAGUGAAUGUACAGCAGUUAGACAGUGAUUAGAAGGCAACUAUAGCCAGUGUGGUUGAGCAGAGCUUGUGAGAGAGUGGACUUCUGAGAGUGAGUGACUGAGGUGUGCUAGUUGGUUUGUGUGGUGUGUCUUUGAGUCUGUGUGUUUGUGGUACAGUGGAGUAGGUAGAUAGGUGGACAGGUGUAGGUGAGGGAAAUGGAUCCCAAAAUUGUGAGGGAGCUUCUGGAGUUCAAACUCCACAAUCGCUAUCCUGAAGGAACAACCAGCAGGGAAAGGUUUACAAUCAAGAGAAGAGCUGAGACCUUCAGGAUAAAUGCUGAGUACAAUGGAUAAUGUCAUGUAAACCAUCAGAGUGUAGUAUUGUGCUGUAAUGUGAUCAUUUCUUUUUUUUUUCUGUUUUUUCUUGUCUUGCCUUACAUGCUUAAUGUAGAUGGAGACCUGUAUUAUAUAUGCAGGCGGAAGAAGAACAAAACUGAGCACCUGGCGAAAGUGGUCUGCUCUGCCAAAGAGGCAAAUGACAAUUUCAUUCCUGCCACUUUGGUGAACACUGUGGAUGGGAGAAGACCCACAGUGCUGUCAUGGCACACUAUUACUGGCCUGGCAUGGAGGGGGACAUUAAAAAAUGGGGGAGCACAUUUUGUCUGAAUGAGCCUCAAACUCAUUUUGAAAAUCCCCCUUUUUUGUUUGUUUGUUUUUCUGUUGUUUGUUUUUGUCUUUUGUUUGUACUUUGUUGCUCCUGUCUAACCCAUAUUACCUACAGCUCUAAGGCAUUUUGCUGAUUAUUAGCAUGUAAUGUUACUUCAUUUGUCAAUAGGUUGCUCAGUACCCACAAUGCCAGUGUAAGCGGGCCAAUAUUAAGGAAAAGAAAGGAUACAUUCCAAUCGAGGUCACGGAGCCCUUUGAGCUCGUUGGAAUGGAUCUUGUGGGUAAACUAACCUUAAUGGAUGGUGGUAAUCAAUAUAUUUGUGUAAUGGUUGACUAUUUCACCAAAUGGGCAGAGACCUACCACUGAAAAACAAAACUGCAGAUGAGGUCACCAGUUGUAUUCUGGAUUUUUUUUUACAAAUUUGGUGCACCUAAAACUGCUAACAGACCAGGGCUCAGAGUUUUGCAACAAGGUCAACUAUGGCUUGUGUAAAACCCUGGGCAUCCAAAGAAGCCUCUGCUCACCAUUCCAUCCCCAAACCAAUGGCACAAGAUUAAAUGGAACAAUCCAGAGAUCCCUCAAUAAACUGGUGAGUGAAGAGCCCAAGAACUGGGACAAAUUUCUGCAGUCCACCAUGUUUGGACUGAGGACAAAAAAGCAGCUGACUACAAAAUACAGCCCAUAUUUCCUCAUGUUUGGCAGAGAGGCAAGGUAUCCAUCGGAGAUCCCAAAGGAAUACAAGAUUACAGAAGACAUGGUCACUAAAGUAAUUUCAAAUGAAGACGUGUGUGAGGGCCUACAAACCCAGGAGGUGGUAUACGCUGAAGUAAUCAAAAAUGUUAAAACCAUCCAAGACAAAAUCCGCAGGGGAAAGGCAAAAAGGGGAGAGGAGGAUGGCUUUCAGGUGGGAGACCUGGUUUUGUGCAAAAAUGUGAGGCAAGAGCAGAGAAAAGGCCAUCACUGGUGCAGUCUUGCUGUGACCCCAUAAAUGCAAUAACCAAAAUCUGGGCUGGGGAAAGGUGCUGUGGUCCAAAAUUGGGCCAUACAAGUUAUUUUCGGAAAACAUUGCUGACUUGGCCCCUGGGAAAGAGUUGGAAAGUGAGAUCAUAAAUGCUUAUUUGACACUGGUGAGGCAACAACACGCUGCAUUGAUUAUGGACUCCUAUUUCAUUACAUCAGUUUGGCAGGGGUCCACAAAAGGUUUCAGAAAGAUAAUUUAUCUAAAAGAGAUGCGGGUUGUCUUUGUUGACCCAUUUGGGGCAACACAAGCACAAAUGGAUAAGUGCAGGGAUGUAACAAGAGCUCUGGUUAGGAGAAAAUGUCCAGCCAUCGGCAAAUGGACGUGCUCAACUGUUGCCCAUCCAAAACAGCAGGACCUAACAUCCUGUGGCGUCUUUGUAUGCAAUCUUGCAGAACAAAUUCUUUCGGGGACCAAUAUACUCUACCCUGUUGACGAGGAGGGGGUUGAAAGGCUCAGACUGGACAUAGUACUCUCUCUGAUCCAAAACUCAGAUGACAUUUCCCAGCUAUGUCAUGCCUGUGGUGAGAGAAGCUCAGGUGCAGAAACCAAUGACUGGAUUGAAUGCACCUUCUGCGGAAAGUGGUACCACACAGUGUGUGUGGACUUCCCCUGUGCAGAAGGCGACUACAAAUGUUGUGGGUGCUAAAUAAAC